UGGAGCUUGAAUAUGGUAAACACGAUUUCC
rnacentral:piRNA from 1 species